rnacentral:tRNA from 1 species
GCGAGAGUAGUACAAUGGUAGUACACUGGCUUCCCAAGCCAGGGACGCGAGUUCGAUUCUCGUCUCUCGCU